rnacentral:rRNA from 1 species
CGGUGAAUACGUUCCCGGGUCUUGUACACACCGCCCGUCACACCAUGGGAGCGGAAAUGCCCGAAGCCGGUGACCCAACCAAAAGGAGGGAGCCGUCGAAGGCAGGUCUGAUAACUGGGGUGAAGUCGUAACAAGGUAUC